GUUGGUCAAGUGGUUAAGACACCGCCCUUUCACGGCGGUAACACGGGUUCGAAUCCCGUAC
rnacentral:tRNA from 4 species